rnacentral:miRNA from 1 species
UGCCGGAGGCUCUUCAACCUU